CCGCUGGGGUGCAGAGUUUGAAUUACGAUACUGGAAAGGACAUUGCCCUCGACCCAGUGAAAACCAACACGCCAUUGUCAUAGAAUUACAGAGCGUUUCAAAGCGGCUCAUUAGCAUCCCUACAAUCAAGAGCCUAACAAACAGCCCUAGCCAAGAGGACUCAAGGUAAACCAGACGUCUUCUCCUAGACUUAGGUAAGCAGGAGCAGCGGCUGACAGAACUCCAAGGACCUACAUUUUGGAUUUAGACCCUACCCUUGAAGUAGCCCUUCUGCCUCCCUCUGAGGAUCAAGUUAUCGAAGCAGAGAAGCAGCACUGAUUGCCAAUUUGGCUGCCUUUGUGCUGGUGAUGACAAAUGCCACAAACAAAUAAAAACAUAUUCAGGUACCUUUGAUAAUAUAACAAUUGAUUUGGCUAUUUGUUCCUACUUUCCCUGUGAUUUAAAUUACCAGAAUGAUGUUGAUUUCUUACUUUCUAAUAAUUCUUAAAACACUAGGUCAGAAUUAAUAUUUGAAGCAAAAAUUGCGAAAUACAGUGAAAAC